rnacentral:rRNA from 2 species
UGCUCAGAUUGAACGCUGGCGGCAGGCCUAACACAUGCAAGUCGAGCGGUAGAGAGAAGCUUGCUUCUCUUGAGAGCGGCGGACGGGUGAGUAAUGCCUAGGAAUCUGCCUGGUAGUGGGGGAUAACGUUCGGAAACGGACGCUAAUACCGCAUACGUCCUACGGGAGAAAGCAGGGGACCUUCGGGCCUUGCGCUAUCAGAUGAGCCUAGGUCGGAUUAGCUAGUUGGUGAGGUAAUGGCUCACCAAGGCGACGAUCCGUAACUGGUCUGAGAGGAUGAUCAGUCACACUGGAACUGAGACACGGUCCAGACUCCUACGGGAGGCAGCAGUGGGGAAUAUUGGACAAUGGGCGAAAGCCUGAUCCAGCCAUGCCGCGUGUGUGAAGAAGGUCUUCGGAUUGUAAAGCACUUUAAGUUGGGAGGAAGGGCAGUUACCUAAUACGUGAUUGUUUUGACGUUACCGACAGAAUAAGCACCGGCUAACUCUGUGCCAGCAGCCGCGGUAAUACAGAGGGUGCAAGCGUUAAUCGGAAUUACUGGGCGUAAAGCGCGCGUAGGUGGUUAGUUAAGUUGGAUGUGAAAUCCCCGGGCUCAACCUGGGAACUGCAUUCAAAACUGACUGACUAGAGUAUGGUAGAGGGUGGUGGAAUUUCCUGUGUAGCGGUGAAAUGCGUAGAUAUAGGAAGGAACACCAGUGGCGAAGGCGACCACCUGGACUGAUACUGACA